UACGUAGGGUGCGAGCGUUGUCCGGAAUUAUUGGGCGUAAAGAGCUCGUAGGCGGUCUGUCGCGUCUGCUGUGAAAACCCGAGGUUCAACCUCGGGCCUGCAGUGGGUACGGGCAGACUAGAGUGCGGUAGGGGAGAAUGGAAUUCCUGGUGUAGCGGUGGAAUGCGCAGAUAUCAGGAGGAACACCGAUGGCGAAGGCAGUUCUCUGGGCCGUAACUGACGCUGAGGAGCGAAAGCGUGGGGAGCGAACAGG
rnacentral:rRNA from 1 species